rnacentral:rRNA from 1 species
CUAAGAUAGUAAGAGCAUACGGUGGAUGCCUUGGCGAUAUCUGCCGAUGAAGGACGCGACAAGCUGCGAAAAGCUGCGGAGAGGUGCAAAUGACCAUUGACCCGCAGAUCUCCGAAUGGAGCAAUCCGGCAGGGUUUAUCCCCUGUCACCCAUAUCUUCGAAUAUGGGAGGGAACCGGGCGAACUGAAACAUCUAAGUAGCCUGAGGAAGAGUAAUCAAACGAGAUACCCCAAGUAGCGGCGAGCGAACGGGGCCUAAGCCCAAACCGGUGAAGGAAACUUUGCCGGGGUUGAGGACUGCCAUACGAACUCAACCAUUAGCCGAAAUUCCUGGGAAGGAAUGCCGAAGAAUGUGAAAGCCAUGUAAGCGAAAAUGGAAAAGGGACAGGCAGCACCAGAGUACCGCGGGACACGAGAAACCCCGUGGGAAGCCGGGGGGACCACCCUCCAAGGCAAAACACAGAUAUCGACCGAUAGCGCAUAGUACCAUGAGGGAAAGGUGAAAAGCACCCCGGGAGGGGAAUGAAACAGAACCUGAAACCGUAUGUUUACAAGCAGUCGAAGACCGCUUAAUAAUAAGGUCAACGGCGUGCCUAUUGAAGAAUGAACCGGCGAGUUAUGAGGUCCAGCAAGGUUAAGCAGGAAAUGCGGAGCCGAAGCGAAAGCGAGUCUUAAUAGGGCGACAAGUUGGAUUGCAUAGACCCGAAACCACAGUGAUCUACCCAUGUCCAGGCUGAAGCACAGGUAAAAAUGUGUGGAGGGCCGAACCUAUAUCCGUUGAAAAGGGUUAGGAUGAGGUGUGGGUAGGGGUGAAAUUCCAAUCGAACGUGGAGAUAGCUGGUUCUCCCCGAAAUAGCUUUAGGGCUAGCCUCGAGGUAGAGAUUGCAGGCGGUAGAGCACUGAUCAGGAGAGGGGCCUACCCGGCUACCAAACCCAGUCAAACUACGAAUGGCUGCAAUUAUACUCGGGAGUCAGACUACGACUUAUAAGGGCCGUGGUCAAAAGGGAAACAGCCCAGAUCAUCAGCUAAGGUCCCAAAUGCCGUGCUAAGUGGCGAAGGAUGUGGCGUUUCAUAAACAACCAGGAUGUUGGCUCAGAAGCAGCCACCAUUUAAAGAGUGCGUAAUAGCUCACUGGUCGAGAGACGCUGCGCCGAAAAUGUCCGGGGCUCAAGCACGGAACCGAAGCUAUGGCAUUGACUAUGUCAAUGGGUAGGGGAGCGUUCUUAACAGGAAGAAGCAUGACCGGAAGGACAUGUGGACCGUUAAGAAGUGAGAAUGCCGGUAUGAGUAUCGAAAAGAAAGGUGAGAAUCCUUUCCACCGAAAGCCCGAGGGUUCCUGAGCAACGAUCGUCGUCUCAGGGUAAGUCGGGACCUAAGCCGAGGCGGAGACGCAUAGGCGAUGGACAACAGGUUGAAAUUCCUGUACCGGAUACAAUCGUUUGAGCGAUGGAGCGACGCAGAAAGGCAUAUGAUCGCGCGACUGGAAGAGCGCGUCCAAGUGCGUAUGUUGAAUCGGAGGCAAAUCCCUGAUUCUGAAAGCAGAGACACGAUGGGGAGUUAUACGAAAGUAUGACGAACUCAUAGAUCCUACACUGCCAAGAAAAACUUCUAGUGAGAAAGUAUCCGCCCGUACCGUAAACCGACACAGGUAGGCGGGGAGAGAAUCCUAAGGUGCGCGGGAAAACCCUCGUUAAGGAACUCGGCAAAUUGCAUCCGUAACUUAGGGAGAAGGAUGACCUUAAGUAAGCGAAAGGGAGAAACCCCUGGAACAGAACAAGGUGGCAGAAAAGAGGCCCAAGCAACUGUUUACCAAAAACACAGGUGCCUGCGAAAGCGAAAGCUGAAGUAUAGGUGCUGACGCCUGCCCGGUGCUGGAAGGUUAAGGAGAGAUGUCAGAGCAAUCGAAGCAUUGAACUGAAGCCCCAGUGAACGGCGGCCGUAACUAUAACGGUCCUAAGGUAGCGAAAUUCCUUGUCGGGUAAGUUCCGACCCGCAUGAAAGGCGUAAUGAUUUGGGCACUGUCUCAACGAGGGGCCCGGUGAAAUUGAAAUACCUGUGAAGAUGCAGGUUACCCGCGACUGGACAGAAAGACCCCAUGGAGCUUCACUGCAGCUUGAGAUUGAAUCUCGGUGAUGCAUGCACAGGAUAGGUGGGAGACUUUGAAGUAUGGGCUUUGGCUUAUACCGAGUCGAUGUUGGGAUACCACCCUUGUAUUGCUGAGAUUCUAACACGGAGGCUAACAACCUCGUGGACCAUCUCAGGUAGGCGGUUUGACUGGGGCGGUCGCCUCCGAAAGAGUAACGGAGGCG